CCUUAUCAGCCCAAUCAUAGACCCAACAUAACUCACUGUCUUCUGGCCCUUAGUCUGGGUGAAAUUCUAUCUCCUCCACCAUCACCACCAGCCCAGUGCAAACUAUGGUCUUCUAUCACUUGGACUGAAAUAAUCUACUGACUGUUUCCAUUCCUGCUCCUGUAAUCCAUUAACACAUUGCAGCCAAAGGGAUCUUCUCAAUACCAAAUCUGAUCAUGUAUACCCCAUAAAGAAUCUUUUUUUAUUCAUGAGACACACACACACACACACACACACACACACACACACACACACAGAGGCAGAGACAUAGGCAGAGGGAGAAGCAGGCUCCAUGCAGGGAGCCCGGCAUGGGACUCAAUCCCGAGGCUCCAGGAUUACGCCCUGAGCCAAAGGCAGACGCUUAACUGCUGAACCACCCAGGUGUCCCCACCAUAAAGAAUCUUUUAAUGCCUAGAGAAUAAAGACAAACAUGACCUGUAGACUACGGCAAAUUUUGUUCCUACAUCAGCAGCAUGCUCCAUAUGAAUGCUCCAUUUCUGACCACUGGCCUUAACGCUCUUUGAUCAGACCAUUUCUUUUGAUCUUUUCCUAGAGGACUCUUCCCCACCUGCAUCCCAGUCCUUCCUUCACCUAAUUCAACUCCAUUCAUCCUUCAAAUUAAAGUUCAAAUGUCCCUCCUUCAAGGAAGCCACCUCUUACCUCUGACAAAUUCUAAUCUUGUAAUUGUUCUUUCUCAGAACCGCCUGCCUUUCCUUUGCAGCACUCCUACAGUGUUAAUUUUAUAUUUAUUUUUGUGGCUAAUUUGUCUAUGUAUUAUUUCAGUCCAAGUGAUAGAAGACCACAGGUUGCACUGGGUUGGUGGUGAUGGUGGAGGAGAUAGAAUUUCAUCGAGACUCAGGGCCAGGAGAAGACACUCAAUUUUUUAAGUGACAAACUGACAGAUUCAUUAAACCAAGGCCUGUAUGUCAGGAAGUAUGAGCCGUUGAUCUGUGUACAGAUGUCACCACUCUUUUAGAAGACAAUUCUUGGGGAUUAUAGACCUGAUAAAUCACACCA
rnacentral:lncRNA from 12 species